AUACUUGGCCGGCCUCCUAUGAGCCAGCUGAGUUGUUAUUGAUUGAGGACGCCUCACAGAUGCUUUCCAGUAGCAGGCCGAUAGGCAUUAUUUAAACCCUUCGUAGGCACUAACCCAGCAAUAGCAUCACAACGUUUUGUGACAAACGUAACACACAGAGUGACGGAGAGACAAACUACAAUGUCGGCAGGUUCCAAGAGCGUCCUAGUUCCCACUGAUGCCGAGCUGCUGCAGGCACAAGCAGAUCUAUGGCGCCACAGCCUCUACUACCUCACCUCCAUGGCGUUCAAGUGUGCCGUCGAGCUCGGCGUCCCAACUGCCAUCCAUAACCUGGGAGGGGCUGCAUCGGUGAAGGACCUGGUAACAACACUAUCCCUCCCGGAAACUAAGCUGCCGUUCCUGCGCCGUGUGAUGCGGUUGCUGGUCACCUCUGGCAUCUUUGCAUCUGAAAGCAGCGCCGAUGUGGAGACCUACCGCCUCAACCCUCUCUCCUGGCUCCUGGUGGAAGGUGUGGAUGCUGAAGACCACACCAACCAGAGAAGUUUCGUGUUAGCCACUGUCUCGCGGCAUUAUGUUGAAGCAGCGAUGUCCCUUGCUGACUGGUUCAAGAAGGAUUUGGCGCCCCCUCUCCCAUCGCCGUUCGAGGAACUACAUGGUGUGCCACUCCUUCAUGAGAAAACACCACUCUUGGACAAAGAUCUUCACGACGUUGUUCUUGAAGGUUUGGCAGCACAUGACAAUUUGGCAAUAGGAACAAUUAUGCGGGAGUGCCAUGAUCUUUUCCGGGGGGUGCAGUCGCUAACUGACUGCUGUGGGGGAGAUGGCACCACGGCGAGGGCUAUCGUCAGGGCCCACCCUAACAUCAAGUGCACCGUGCUUGACCUACCAGAAGUCAUCAAGACUGCACCAGCUGAUGGUGUCAUAAACUACGUUGCGGGUGACAUGUUCAAAUCUGUCCCGCCAUCUCAAGCUGUGUUGCUCAAGGUAUGAAGUGGUAAAAAAGAUUAACUAGGGGCUAUUCUUCCAUGCACGGUAUAUUGUUGAAAAAAAGUUAUAUGAGCAUCCAUUUGUGCUUUUGAAAUUGACACUUGUAUUAAGCAUUAUCAUUAUAUCCCCAUCUUAUUAUUAGAACUUCACUAAAUGCAAUAUAGAUUUAUGAUUUUUGACAACUUUCUGUAGCUUGUACUGCAUCACUGGAGCGAUGAGGAUUGUGUGAAGAUCUUAGAACAAUGCAAGAAGGCAAUUCCUUCCCGAGAAGAGGGAGGGAAGGUGAUCAUUAUAGAAAUAGUUCUUGGCCCUUCUUUAGGUCCAAUAAUGUUUGAAGCCCAACUCCUGCUGGACAUGCUCAUGAUGGUGAAUACCAGAGGCAGGCAGAGGGAUGAAAAUGACUGGCGUGAAAUUUUCAUGAAAGCAGGGUUCAGUGACUAUAAGAUUGUUAAGAAAGUGGGAACUCGUGGUGUUAUCGAGGUCUACCCAUAAGACUACUGCAGUCCUAAAUGAAGAAUA
rnacentral:lncRNA from 1 species